AUCCGAGUCUAAGGGCAUUAUCCAUCUCUGUGAGGCGAUUAGCUGAGAGUGGAUUUUUGCUAAUUGAAAGCUAUUUAGCUGACUGCUCCUACUUAGGUCCACCUAGGUAGGCAAUAUUUUGGAACACUUUUCCUUUGGAA